rnacentral:rRNA from 1 species
ACGGGUGAGUAACACGUAGGUAACCUGCCUAUGAGACUGGGAUAACUAUCGGAAACGAUAGCUAAGACCGGAUAACUGGUUUUCUCGCAUGAGAGAAUCAUGAAACACGGAGCAAUCUGUGGCUUAUAGAUGGGCCUGCGGCGCAUUAGCUAGUUGGUAGGGUAAUGGCCUACCAAGGCGACGAUGCGUAGCCGACCUGAGAGGGUGAACGGCCACACUGGGACUGAGACACGGCCCAGACUCCUACGGGAGGCAGCAGUAGGGAAUCUUCCGCAAUGGACGCAAGUCUGACGGAGCAACGCCGCGUGAGUGAUGAAGGUUUUCGGAUCGUAAAGCUCUGUUGCCCUAGACGAACAGCAAGGAGAGUAACUGCUCUUUGUGUGACGGUAUAGGAGAAGAAAGCCCCGGCUAACUACGUGCCAGCAGCCGCGGUAAUACGUAGGGGGCAAGCGUUGUCCGGAAUUAUUGGGCGUAAAGCGCGCGCAGGCGGUCAAUUAAGUUGGGUGUUUAAGCCCGGGGCUCAACCCCGGUUCGCAUCCAAAACUGGUUGACUUGAGUGUAGGAGAGGAAAGUGGAAUUCCACGUGU